CAAUAGCGUAUAUUAAAGUUGUUGCAGUUAAAAAGCUCGUAGUUGAAUUUCUGGUGGGCGCGCCGGUCUUCCAAGUGUUGUACUGGGCGCAGUCCGCCAUCCUUGUGGAGAGGGCUCGCAUUGAGUUGCGUGUCGGAUCUGCAUCAUUUACUGUGAAAAAAUUAGAGUGUUUAAAGCAGGCUGUCGCUUGAAUACAUUAGCAUGGAAUAAUAAGAUAGGACUUCGGUCUAUUUUGUUGGUUGCGAACCGAGGUAAUGAUUAAUAGGGAUAGUUGGGGGUAUUCAUAUUUAAUUGUCAGAGGUGAAAUUCUUGGAUUUAUGAAAGAUGAACAACUGCGAAGGCAUUUACCAAGGAUGUUUUCAUUAA
rnacentral:rRNA from 1 species